UGAUGAUGGUGAGGACAAUUUUUGAACAUACCCUUAAAUCUCUCCCAAGAUUGGUAGAGAUUCUCUCUUUUUUUGUCUAAAACUUAAGAUCUCACUUCUCAAACA
rfam:Capsicum annuum cultivar Zunla-1 chromosome 2, whole genome shotgun sequence